rnacentral:lncRNA from 1 species
AUGGGGUGGGGAUGCACUGAGGCCACCCUCCCACCAUCCUGCAUCGCGUUCCAGCCUUGCAGUGGAAAUUUUUGCACGACGGCAACGGGACGCAUUUGGGGACCCCAUCCACCAUCUUGCAUCGAGUUCCUGCUCCACAACGGGUGUUCUUGCACGAAGGCAAUGGGACGCACUGGGGCCACCCGCCCACCAUCCUGCACACCGUUCCCGUAUCGCAGUGGAAGUUGUUGCAGGAAGGCAACGGGACGCAUUUGGGCAUCCCGUCCACCACCUUGCACCGAGUUCCUGCUCCACAACGGGUGUUUUUGCAGGAUGGCAACGGGAUGCAUUGGGGUGAGCCGUGCACCAUCUUGCAUUCUGUUCCUGCUCCACAAUGGGUGUUCUUGCAGGAUGGCAACGGGAUGCAUUGGGGUGAGCCGUGCACCAUCUUGCAUUCUGUUCCUGCUCCACAAUGGGUGUUCUUGCAGGAUGGCAACGGGAUGCAUUGGGGUGAGCCGUGCACCAUCUUGCAUUCUGUUCCUGCUCCACAAUGGGUGUUCUUGCAGGAUGGCAACGGGAUGCAUUGGGGUGAGCCGUGCACCAUCUUGCAUUCUGUUCCUGCUCCACAAUGGGUGUUCUUGCAGGAUGGCAACGGGAUGCAUUGGGGUGAGCCGUGCACCAUCUUGCAUUCUGUUCCUGCUCCACAAUGGGUGUUCUUGCACGAAGGCAACGGGAUGCACUUGGGCCAUCCGUCCACCAUCUUACACUCUGUUCCAUCUUCACAGCGGGUGUUUUUGCAGGAAGGAAGAGGAACACACUUGGGUGACCCAUGGACCAUCUUGCAUUCUGUUCCUGCGUCACAACGGGUGUUUUUGCAUGAAGGCAAUGGGAUGCAUUGGGGAGACCCAUGCACCAUUUUGCAUUCUGUUCCAGCUUCACAACGGGUGCUCUUGCAAGAUGGCAGAGGGAUGCACUGGGGUGAUCCAUGCACCAUCCUGCACUCUGUUCCUGCAUCACAGCGGGUAUUCUUGCAAGACGGCAAAGGGAUGCAUUGGGGUGAGCCAUGCACCAUCUUGCAUUCUGUUCCAUCUUCACAACGGGUGUUUUUGCACGAAGGCAGAGGGAUGCACUGGGGUGAUCCAUGCACCAUCCUGCACUCUGUUCCAGCUUCACAACGGGUGUUUUUGCAGGACGGCAACGGGAUGCACUGGGGUGACCCACCGAUCAUCCUGCACUCUGUUCCUGCAUCACAUCGAGUGUUUUUGCAGGAUGGCAACGGGAUGCACUGGGGUGACCCACCAACCAUCUUGCAUUCUGUUCCAGCUUCACAACGGGUGUUCUUACAUGAAGGCAGAGGGAUGCAUUGGGGUGAUCCAUGCACCAUCCUGCACUCUGUUCCUGCUUCACAACGGGUGUUCUUGCAGGAUGGCAACGGGAUGCACUGGGGUGAGCCAUGCACCAUCUUGCAUUCUGUUCCUGCUCCACAACGGGUGUUCUCGCAGGAUGGCAACGGGUUGA